AUUGAACGCUGGCGGCAGGCCUAACACAUGCAAGUCGAGCGGGGUUUUCGGACCUAGCGGCGGACGGGUGAGUAAUGCGUAGGAAGCUACCCGACAGAGGGGGAUACCAGUUGGAAACGACUGUUAAUACCGCAUAAUGUCUACGGACCAAAGUGUGGGACCUUCGGGCCACAUGCUGUCGGAUGCGCCUACGUGGGAUUAGCUAGUUGGUGAGGUAAUGGCUCACCAAGGCGACGAUCCCUAGCUGGUUUGAGAGGAUGAUCAGCCACACUGGAACUGAGACACGGUCCAGACUCCUACGGGAGGCAGCAGUGGGGAAUAUUGGACAAUGGGCGCAAGCCUGAUCCAGCCAUGCCGCGUGUGUGAAGAAGGCCUCGGUGUAAGU
rnacentral:rRNA from 1 species